rnacentral:lncRNA from 1 species
GCUGAAAAUCUGCAGUUUUGCAGAAUUUGAUUCUUUAGCUCUCGAAAACCUUCCACAACACACUUUUGAUCGUUUUAACACCUUCGGACUUUCCGAAGUGUACCAUCCUCGCACUUUGGUCAAUUUGACUAAAGUUCGAUAUUUAUUUUCCGAAUUUCCGGUAUAUUACAUUCUCCACCCCUUAAAAUAAUUUCGUCCGCGAAAUUACGCAUACCUUAACUCGUUGACUCAAACAGAUGCGGAUACUCUCGCCUCAUAGUUUCCUCGAGCUCCCAAGUGGCUUCUCGCGCCGCGUGGUUGCUCCACUGAACUUUCACAUACGGAAUCUUGCGACUUCGCAACUUUUUAACUUCUCGAUCGAGGAUGCACACCGGGUACUCCUCGUA